rnacentral:tRNA from 1 species
GGGACGAUAGCUCAGCUUGGGAGAGCACACGGCUGAAGAAUCUUGCAAAAGAUGUUUGAAACCGUGGUGUCCUGGGUUCAAAUCCCAGUCGUCCCA